rnacentral:tRNA from 1 species
GCAGUGGUAGUUCGGUGGGAAAAUUCUUGCCUUCCACGUAGGAGAGGCUGGUUCAAUUCCUGGCCAGUGCA